ACUCCUACGGGAGGCAGCAGUGGGGAAUAUUGCACAAUGGGCGCAAGCCUGAUGCAGCGACGCCGCGUGAGGGAUGACGGCCUUCGGGUUGUAAACCUCUUUCAGCAUCGACGAAGCGCAAGUGACGGUAGAUGCAGAAGAAGCACCGGCCAACUACGUGCCAGCAGCCGCGGUAAUACGUAGGGUGCGAGCGUUGUCCGGAAUUACUGGGCGUAAAGAGCUCGUAGGUGGUUUGUCGCGUUGUUCGUGAAAACUCACAGCUUAACUGUGGGCGUGCGGGCGAUACGGGCAGACUGGAGUACUGCAGGGGAGACUGGAAUUCCUGAUGUAGCGGUGGAAUGCGCAGAUAUCAGGAGGAACACCGGUGGCGAAGGCGGGUCUCUGGGCAGUAACUGACGCUGAGGAGCGAAAGCGUGGGGAGCGAACAGGAUUAGAUACCCUGGUAGUCCACGCCGUAAACGGUGGGUACUAGGUGUGGGUUUCCUUCCUUGGGAUCA
rnacentral:rRNA from 1 species